rnacentral:rRNA from 1 species
UACGGAGGGGACUAGCGUUGUUCGGAAUUACUGGGCGUAAAGCGCACGUAGGCGGAUUUGUAAGUCAGGGGUGAAAUCCCGGGGCUCAACCCCGGAACUGCCUUUGAUACUGGCAUUCUCGAGUCCGGAAGAGGUGGAGUGGAAUUCCGAGUGUAGAGGUGAAAUUCGUAGAUAUUCGGAGGAACACCAGUGGCGAAGGCGACUCACUGGUCCGGUACGUGACGCGUGAG